rnacentral:lncRNA from 1 species
AAACUGUCUUCUAAUGUGGCUCUGCCAUUUUGCAUUCCCAGGAGCAAUGAAUGAGAGUUCCUGUGGCUCCAUAUCCUUGCCAGCAUUUGGUGUUAUCAGUUGUCUGGAUUUUGGCCAUUCUAAUAGAGAUUCAGUCUCACGAUGUUGUCCAGUCUCAAACCACCUGGGCUCAAGCCAUCCACCUAGCUCAGCCUCCUGAGUGACUGGGAUACCAGGUACAUGCCACCAAGCUUAGCUAAAUUUGUCCAUUUCUUUAAAAAAAAAAAAGCCUCUCAGAAUUUUGAUUGAG